rnacentral:rRNA from 1 species
AUUGAACGCUGGCGGCCGGCCUAACACAUGCAAGUCGAGCGAGCGGCGGACGGGUGAGUAAUGUCUGGGAAACUGCCCGUUGGAGGGGGAUAACUACUGGAAACGGUAGUUAAUACCGCAUACCAUCAGAUGUGCCCAGAUGGGAGUAGCUAGUGGGUGGGGUAACGGCUAACCUAGGCGACGAUCCCUAGCUGGUCUGAGAGGAUGACCAGCGACACUGGAACUGAGACACGGUCCAGACUCCUACGGGAGGCAGCAGUGGGGAAUAGUGCACAAUGGGCGAAAGCCUGAUGCAGCCAUGCCGCGUGUGUGAAGAAGGUCUUCGGGUUGUAAAGCACUUUCAGCGGGGAGGCGUUACCCGCAGAAGAAGCACCGGCUAACUCCGUGCCAGCAGCCGCGGUAAUUC